rnacentral:piRNA from 1 species
UGCCUCAGCCCUAACGUUGCUUCA